GACAGAGGAUGCAAGCAUUAUCCGGAAUGAUUGGGCGUAAAGCGUCUGUAGGUGGCUUUUCAAGUCCGCCGUCAAAUCCCAGGGCUCAACCCUGGACAGGCAGUGGAAACUACCAAGCUGGAGUACGGUAGGGGCAGAGGGAAUUCCUGGUGUAGCGGUGAAAUGCGUAGAGAUCAGGAAGAACAUCGGUGGCGAAGGCGCUCUGCUGGACCAUAACUGACACUCAGGGACGAAAGCUAGGGGAGCGAAUGGG
rnacentral:rRNA from 1 species